UACGUAGGGUCCGGGCGUUGUCCGGAAUUAUUGGGCGUAAAGGGCUCGUAGGCGGUUUGUCGCGUCGGGAGUGAAAACUCAGGGCUCAACCCUGAGCGUGCUUCCGAUACGGGCAGACUAGAGGUAUGCAGGGGAGAACGGAAUUCCUGGUGUAGCGGUGGAAUGCGCAGAUAUCAGGAGGAACACCGGUGGCGAAGGCGGUUCUCUGGGCAUUACCUGACGCUGAGGAGCGAAAGCAUGGGGAGCGAACAGG
rnacentral:rRNA from 1 species